UUAAACAAUGUAUAUUUUGUUUUAAUUUUAAAAAUUGGUGCAGAUUUUUGCUUCUGACAGUACACACUGAAAGAAAUGUUUGCAUAACUGUAACAAAAUUUUGGUUACUGUUUACACAAAAAUUGGGACUUGCGAACUAUGUGUUAUAUGUUACAAAACCGUGUUUGGCUAUCAGGGUACAGGUACUGGGUAUACACUACAAAAUAAGUUUGUAAAUUUAUGCAAAGUUUAUUUUCUUAUAACCGUAGUUUAGUUAUUUAGUAAAGUUACAAAACCAGUUCGGCUAUCUAUUUUUUUCAGUGCACUAUGUAGGUAUUAUUAGAGUUCUUUUUUUGCCACGGAAGUGUAUUAGUAUACAUACAAGUAGGUAAGUAAAUACAAAGUAAGACAGAUAUAAGUAUUUAAGUUCAAUGACGAUGAAUAAUCAACGUGUAUAAUCGUUUCUUAUUCGCUUUUUUUAAUAUUGACCUUUAGCUUAAGUAUUUUUCUGAAUAAGUACCUAUUUGUUACAAUUGUUUCUAGAACAGCCCAAUUGCCUACGUGCGAAGUGCAGGGCAAAGAGAAUUUGAAAUAGAGGUAUAUUGACUGUAUUGUCAAAGAAAACUUUGUAGCUACAGAUAAUUUACUGCCAUCUUUCGACACAUGGUUAAAAUUUAGAACGCCAUUUGAUUUUGAGCCUUAUUAUUUUACUGAUAUGUGUUAAAUUUGUUAAAUAUCUAAAAGUGGCGCCAUCUAAUAGAUCAAAGGCUAAAGGUAUGGCAGUAUCGUUUCGAGCGAUGGCGCCAUAACCUUUAGGUUGUGCCCGGGAAGAUGGCACUUUUUGAUAUUUAACAAAUUUAACACAUAUCAAUGAAAGAAUAAAGAUCAAAUCAAAUGGCGUUCUAAAAGUUUUAAUCAUGUGUCGAAAGAUGGCAGUAAAUGUACGUGGCUACAAAGUUUUCUUUGACAAUACACCCCUAUUUCAAAUUAUCUUUGGUGGGGGUAAGUAAAGCAAUCGCAGCGUAAGCGGUGGUGAAAAUUAGAACUAACCAAGAAUAGCGUCUCUAACAUUUCGUACAAGUUAUAUGGCUCGAAAUGGAACAUUAAUAUUCGAUUAUUCUUGAAAUAUUCAUUUAAAUUGUAUGGUGUAAGGGACCAAUGGAAUCUGUAUGAAAUGCCUAAUAUAACUAACGUAUUUAAUUUGAUAAUUAUCAAAACUGUAUUCGUGUAAAGUAGGGUUAGCAAUAUCGGUCGGAUUCCAAUUCCGAAACUGAUUUUCGAUAUUGGGUACCAAUUCCGGAAUUCAGGGUUUACUAUAUUUUUAUUCGAUUUUUUAAUAAAAAACAAAACAAAA